UCUGCCACAUUUUCAUGAGAGAGGAGAAAAAUAAACAAAAUGACAGGGAGGUGAUAAAAAAAGAAUCACUUAACUCUAAAAUCCUAUAGGAGACUGCAAUUUUAUUGAGGUGAAAAGGGUAAAAUGGUAUAAAAUCAGCUAUAAACAAAUAUUCACAUAAACCUUAUAACAAGGGACAUGGGAUCUUUCUCUACUCAUUAUCUGGCAUCAUUUCAGAGUAAACAUUCCUGUGUUAGGGCUGGUAGGAUUAGCAAAAUUCUUUCUAUUUGCUAAGUGCCUGGAAUAAAGGGAGAUGUAUUUUCACAUUUUAUAUUAUUUUUUAAACUUUUGUCAGAUUUAGAAGUUAAAAUAUAUAUUUACAGUUUAUGAAAAUGUGAGUUUUCAGACUUUUAAUGCACAAAAAUAAAAAGGAAGUGAAUUCAAAAUCAACACACACACCGUCAAACAAAUGUACAAAAAAUCCAGCCCAU